rnacentral:rRNA from 1 species
CAAUAGCGUAUAUUAAAGUUGUUGCAGUUAAAAAGCUCGUAGUUGGAUUUGUGGCGUACGGUGUGUUCCGGGCACUUGUUGUCUGAGUAACCUGCUGUUGCCAUCCUUGGGUGGAACCUGUGUGGCAUUAGGUUGUCGUGCAGGGGCUGCCCAUCAUUUACUGUGAAAAAAUUAGAGUGUUCAAAGCAGGCUUAUGCCGUUGAAUAUAUUAGCAUGGAAUAAUGAGAUAGGACUUUUUUGCUAUUUUGUUGGUUUGCGCAAAGAGGUAAUGAUUAAUAGGGACAGUUGGGGGUAUUCGUAUUCCAUUGUCAGAGGUGAAAUUCUUGGAUUUUUGGAAGACGAACUACUGCGAAAGCAUUUACCAAGGAUGUUUUCAUUAA